rnacentral:rRNA from 1 species
UACGUAGGGGCCUAGCGUUGUCCGGAUUUAUUGGGCGUAAAGAGCUCGUAGGCGGUUUGGUGAGUCGGGUGUGAAAUCUCCACGCUCAACGUGGAGGGGCCACCCGAUACUGCCAUGACUAGAGUCCGGUAGGGGAGUGUGGAAUUCCCGGUGUAGCGGUGAAAUGCGCAGAUAUCAGGAGGAACACCAAUUGCGAAGGCAGCUCGCUGGGACGUUACUGACGCUGAGACGCGAAAGCGUGGGGAGCAAACAGG